GGAGUCUUAGCGUGACCUCUGGUAUACAUGGAGUGUUGAAUUUCAUGCAUUUAACUCCCACAGUCUGUCCAAGAGCUGGCUGACCACAGUGCUUCCCUAAGGAAAAAAUACUCUUAAAUGCAGUCAUUUCAGUAUGGUAAAAAUGUUUCUUAUUUCUAAGAACGUGCUGAUAGCUGGAAGACAUAUGGAUAUUCAAGAAGGCUCUCAGCCAAGAUGACCUGACCAAGGUUCUCCCUGCUUCCCCAUUGAUCUCCUCAUCCUCAAACUGUAUUCUGCCUGCCGCUGUCUCCUCUCCUGGUCAUGCUGGAGACUGAAAAUACUAUGACAAAUAAAUGAUUUCAUGCAACCUCCUGGUAUAGGGAGAACUGAGAUAGAUGUGUUGCCAGCAGGCACUGAUGUACCCAAGGUGCACAUUGGUGUUAGCCUGGCCAUGACUGCAGGAGGCAGACUAUUGUUUCUGGCACUGCUGGGAGAAGCCAUGUUUCUCAAUCACCGACAGAAAGCACAUUGAGGAUCAAACACAAAAAGGAAAAUCAAGAUUAUGAUAUGGCACUGAACCUUUGUUCACCAAAGACUCUGCUGGUUACCUCUGAUGCCAUUUGUGGAGGGUGGUGGGACACUAGACCCGACCUAUGAGACUGACUGAAGCUAGAGGCUUGUACUAAGGCCGUUUCCCUCCUGCUUCCUAACGCUAUGGGUAAGAGAGCUACACAAGUAAUCUCUUGGCUUUUGGGUGUGUGGCCGGGGGCUGGCAGCAUCUCAGGGUGCGGGAUGACCACAGCCUGAGGGAAUUCACAUCUCACUGCAAAAUUUCCUCUUCAUUUCAGGCAUUAUGGUACAGAUUUUAUUCUUGGAAAGGUCCAGAUCUGGGACAAUCACUAUCCUUGCUGCAGUGAAAUUAAUAGGGUGUCCAGGGGCAAAGGUAAAUCCAAAGUACAUAAGCAAAUGUUUGCAGGAUCGGGAACUUACUCAGGCAUAAAUCAGGUAACUCCAGCCAACAAUAGAAUUACCUAAGUAUAAAAUCCCAUGUAAGCCAGUAAGAUCAGCUCCAAACCUGCCUUGAAUUUGCUUUUUGUUUCCAUGCCAAGAAUAUAUCACUUCUAACUACUGCAGUUGGGUCUGGUCCCUUUUAUUAUUUUUUAAAGUGCUUUUGGGCACAUUUAUUUCCUGUCACCAGCCAGAUACACACGGAGCCUGACCCUCCUUUUCUUGGGCAUGCCCCAGCCUGCUUUGCUCACAAUAACUUGUCACUAUCAGGGGCUGUUUUUUUUUCCUUGUCUUGCCUUUUCUGUUACUGCAUUCAGUAAACAAAGGGACAGCAGUGGCAAUCCAAAACCGUUUUUGUAUUUGCCUGGGAACAGAGUCAACUAUUUGUUGGGGGUUUUGUUGUAGUAUUUUUUUAGAUUGUGUGUUCCUGGUUUUUUAACCAGUGACCGUUUAAAUGGCUACUGGUACCUGUGGUGCAGCGUAUACUGGUGUUCCAGGAUUUGUUACCAAGUGGCACUGGGCAGUCAUGGAGUAGGCAGUAACAAGAACAGGGAACUGCAUGUAGGAAGUAUCAGAUCAAACCAAAGGUCCAGGGCACAGCGGUCCCUACUGCUCCUCCUGGAGAAUGUGAAAAUAGCCUGCAGAGUUUUUGUGGUCAUUGUAUGUGCCUCAUUUUCACCACUUCUCAGUGCACUGCUUCGAGAUGGUGGCCCAAGACAAGAAGUCUGAUGAUGUUUGCACCCACUUGGGCCAGGAAGAGACCAGGUAUUGUAAAUGAGUUUGGGCAAAAUAUCUGAGAGAAGGAAGGCAAGGAGAGAUGGUAGAGAAGGAGGUAGCUUGAGGGCAAAUUUUAUUGUCCUCUCCAUCCAAAUCCAAGUGCAGCAGCAGCAGUGCAGGCAGCGAAGGUGGCUCCUGGAGUGGUCUCUUCCUGGCAGACACCAGAAGUGUCCCAGCUCCCAUUCCCAUCCCUGCCUGUCAUUCCAGUUGCAGCCCAUGAAAGGGUGCUCCAAAAGGCUGGGCAGAGCCUCCCAUUAUACCGGGACACACCAGUCCCCAGGGCAGCAGCUGAGAGGAACAGGUAUGCAUUUUCCAAGUGAUAUUUAGGCUCUUAAACUAUAUUUGAAAAUGCCCAGAGGGUCCUAAUUUAUGUGCUGUAGAAAAAUACUGCCUAUGACCUGCUUUGCUGUGAACACCUCGUAUACUGGGAGUGGGGUUAUAGGCUUUGCCUUCUCAGUCUUGUGUCUUGAAGCAAAAGCAAUAUGCACCAGGCAGCUGUAAUUGCUGUUCCCACCAUCACGUUUUCCCUGUGGCAUACCUCUGCCAUAAUCACAGCUUGAUAUCUUGUGUGCAUCUGAAACAGGAGACCUUCUCUAACAUCACAAAGGGGAUGGAUGGCUGGCAAGGAAAAUAAAUCACCCUGAGCUAACGUCCUUUAGGAGCAAUUAUUUCAAUAGCCCACAAAAAUGAAGAAGUGCUGGGAGGAAGCCAAGAGCCACGCUGGAGCGCUCACCCAGGUGCCUGCGCUUGGGAUGGCAGGGCAGGGGCUGCCUACGUGCUCUGCAGUGAUGUGUCCUGGAUGGGGGCACCCAGUGCUGGGCUCCGCUGCUGGUGCUCCUGUUCCAGCAGAGUGGCUCCCUGAAUGGGUCCACAGCAAAACAACCUCUUCUUUCCUCUCUGGGCUAUUUUAGGGAAUGUUUUCCAGUCCCACAAGGAUUUCCACUUGCACCAUGCUGCAUGGGAAUGGGCUGGGAGGGCAGUUCUGCACUGCUGCCCUCCUCAGUUUUUUCGGUGUUCAGUUUUGUUCAGCUCUGGAGCAAAUUGGGGUGUGCAGGUUGUCAGCCUGGGUGUUAAUGAAGCACCUCAAUGUCACCUGCCCGUGCCCGGUGGAGGUGCUGGCAGAAUCAGGAGGGUUUCUGUGUAUAGGAGGACAGUUUUGUGGUCAAGCAAUACAAGUGGAGGAAACAGCGUCACAGGCUGAGGUUUGAAACAGCUAAUAGACAGAAGGUGGGUCAGGGGAGCUUAGGGAUACACGGUGUUUGCUGUAAACACAUGCCAUAAAAGCCAUGAGUCAAAUGUGUUCUCAAGACCAAAGGUAGCUCUGCCAAGCCGCCAUGAAUUGCAGGAAAGCCCUGACCUGAGUUCUGCUCUUUCAGGUGGGGAUAAACAGCCCUGGAGCACUUUGGAAGGAGAGGUGGUCUUGGGUCUAACUUGCUAGUGUCCACCAAAACAAGUCCCAAAUCCACAGAGGUGAAAAAAAAUCCCACAAGAGAAUUUCUCCUGGAUUUAACCUUGCACUUCACUGCAGUACUUUGUGAUGCUUCAACUUGCUAUGGGAAAAUAAGCAGCCCAGGUAUUGCCUAAGAGGGAUGUUUCAGUAUUGCUGGGACUGCUCUUCUUCCCUACCUCUCUUCACCAGAAUACAGCAUUCUGAUACAAUUGGUGGGGCAUUCAGCCUCUGAUAGCAUUUGCUUCCACCUAGUUUCACAUGAAAAUCCUCCUGCUGCCUCGCAGAGCUACAUGAAGGUAUGUAAUCUUUACUCCCACACUCUCUUCCUCCCAGAAGGAGGAUGGGAACUGGAAAAUUCCUCCAGUGCCUCACUAAAGGGCAACAGGAGUCUGCACAAAACAUCUCUGGCAAUGGGCUGUGGCAGCAGUUUCAUCUGCUUGCUGGGCUGAAAAUCGUGACCUCAGCCAUUGCAGCAGCUCUCUGGAAGCAUUCUGCGAUGAAAUCUGUUUAAACAGCAACAGCAGAACCACUGGAAUAAUUUAUACAUCUGAACUAGCAAGAGUGUUAAUCCAUUUUAGGAGCAAAAGAAAAUCUGGUGAAACUUCUAGAGGCUUUGUUUAGUUUUCCUGCACCUAAACAGACUCUUAGGUCUGUGUUUUGUGCUUGUGUAUUGCUGUGUGGAGGAGAAACUCUGGCACAGAGUGGCCACUUCUGCUAAGAACAGGAAAGUCAGUGUUUGGUCCUGCUGUCAACAGGCUUUAGCUUGGAGAGAAACCCUCACUAAUCAGUGUGUUUGUAGCAUUUUCAUAGCAAAAUAAAAGAUGCCUGGAAUUAUUUGUUGGUCACCAAGCAAAUGUUUCACUGCUGACAUGUUCCAGGAACCGUUUACAAAGUCUUGAUUGACAAAAAUGCCAAAAACUUGUAAUCCUCCACAUGCUGCCCAGGACCAGGAGAUAGAUGGAUGUGGAGAUGGAGGUGGAGCCUCCUCCUGCAGAAGCCACAGGGGUCACACGGGGCUGAAGAGAAGGAGAAGCUUAUUUGUUAUGCAAAUGUCUUCUUGAGCCUGGCCUAGACAGUGGAAAGCUCUUGAAUUAUUUUAAGUAGAGGACAAAAGUUCUUUCCCUCCCCCUAUCAUCUUGGAUCCUUGUAAAAACAAAACAAAUGAGAAACCUCUAUGUGAACCAUCUGACAAUGAUCAGCACUUCGCUUUCCUGGCAAGAGCAGGGUGGCCAGGCGUGCACAGGCACACGGAAAUAGAACAAUUAAGAAAUAAAAUACUGUAUUGGAAGCAGCCGGGCUUUAUUUUGUCUUGAUGAUAACACGAACUAACCAUCCUCCAGCCUUAUCUCCAUGAGCAUGCAGCUGAAGGCCAUGUGCAGACCAGCAGAGAUGCUUCCCCUCUGCCUACCUGGGGUGAAAGCAGGCUGUGGUUCAGCCCAGGCUCUCUGGGCAAGGAAAGGAAUAGGAGUACUUAUUUUGGAUACAGAACACACUUGCAGGCCAGAAGUUCAAGCUGGCAGCCUGGCUCAUGCAGAAAAGCCACCCGUGCAUGGCAGCGAGCUUCCUGCGCUGGCCGGCAGCUGGGCUUCCCUGGCCUCUCGCUCCUUCCGGGGGCACCGGCCGCAGGUUUGCAUCAGCAGAUGUGCAUUUCACAACUGCCGAGAAAAUCCUGUCAGUAUUUACACAGUGUCAAGUGGCGCCAAGGGGACAAAGUGGAGCCUUUCCCGUGUGGGCUGCAGGAUGCUGCUCCCGUGGGGCGAGCAGCUGAACCUGUGCCAUGUGCUCCUGGAGCAGUGGCUGCAUGGGGCAGUGAUGCUGCUUGUACUCCGCCCACUGGGAGCUACAGCAAAAAACCUGUUUUCCAGACAGAUUGCACCUUACCACAGUGGUUUUCCCCCGAGCCAAGUUCUCCUCCAGUUUCAGCAACCCUGUGAAGGCCAGGUGGGCAGUUGAGCUCUGGCAUGCAGAGAGACAGUUAAGCUGCAGAUAAAUCAGCUCUUAAGAACAGGCUUCAGACAGACCAUUUCACUUCGAUAUCUACAAAUGCAGGGGGAUGCGCAGGGUUGGGCCUGCAGACAGAUCUGUAUUUUGGGGGUAGCAGUACAGCAGAACGUGCUGGGAGGAUGCAAGGCUUAGUUAACGUGAGCCUUCUAGGGCCCAUGAUGGGUUAUGUCCAUCACCACCUGGGAAGCUGGGUGAAUCCCUUCAGCAGCAGUGAUGCCCGCCUGCCUCUUCCCCUGCCUGGGGGCUGAGUGGGGGUUUGAGUGUCCCCACAGAUCCACUCACAUUCCCAAAGAGUCCCGCUGGUUCUGCAGACCCACAGCCAAAUGUGAGUGUAGCAAAAGAGCCCCUUCCCACAGGGCUGCCUGCACCACACCAGCACAACCCGGCCGCUGAUGGGGGAACCUUGAUUUUUUGAGGCAGAACAUAUCACACAGGGUCACUUCUGAUGAUAACUGUGCAGGGCUCUCCCUACGGCUUCAUCCCCCAUCCCAAAUGGUCAUGGGACGUGAGCUGCACUGUGCCACUCCUGCCUCUGGCUUUGCAGCUGCCCAGAGGCACUCAGGUCCCCAGAGUUUUGCUGCUGUCACUGGGGGAGGUGAGCAAGGCCAGUGAAAUUGGAGAAAACCCUCAACAAAACUAAACCCCCAGCCAGCCUGGCAGAGUUAAGUUGAAGCUGAUGUGGACUCCGCCAGCUCCUCAGCCCAGCAGGAGCUCGCACCUCAUGGGCGCACGUGGCAUCCCCGCAAGCCCAGGGCUCACCUUGACCCUGGCUAAGCUUUCUCCUCCAGCACACGGGGGACACUGAGGCACUCAACCAUCACAUGCGGCAGCAGCAGGGGCUGACCUACCAUACUAGCAGUUCCCAGUCUCUACCACCCUAUCUCAGGAAAAAGGGGGAGCACAUAUCUCGCUGUGGGGAGAUGCGAGCAAAGUCCUUCACUAUCACCUGCUUCACAAGGCAAGACUGAAAAAAAGACUCAUUCCAGGGCCACAAGCUAAGUGGACUGAGCUCAGAUGAUUUUACUGGUCAUAUCAUGAUAAAAGAAUUAGUAUCGUCGAUAAAAGAACAAGCAUGGUGUGUCACAAGAGCCUGUCCUCAGAGCUGAACCGUGACUGGCCGAGACUGGAGGUGACAUUGGGACACACUCCUUUCCUUAGUGCCAUGUCUGCGCUGCAAAUUCUCCACUGCAAUUCCUCACUGCUUAAGAGCAGUUUCUCUCAUGGGCAUUUUUGAAAUUGUUAGGAAAAAAAAAAAAAAUCUGCGUGGGCAUCGCAAGGUUUGUUUUCUCUGAUGACUAUUUUUAAUCUUGUUUUCCAUUUAAAAAAAUAAAAAAAGAAAAGAUAGAUAUGAAUUGAAGCGGUGCCUUUAAGUACAGCAUGGUAAUAGCUGCACAAAACUAAACACAAAAUUAGGGAGAGUGUGUGCCUAAAAUCUGUGAAAGGCUGAAGCCUUUUAUGAUACUCACUUGGCAGCACCGCCAAGAGUGCAGGGACCAAGGCCAGGGCGCUGCGCGGGCAGCUGGCACCAGAGAGGUUAAAGAAGUGGGAUCACCCUGCGAGAAGGGAGCUGGAGUCAAGCAGGCCUUUCUAGGAGAGGAUGUUGGCAUCAGCUCUCUCAGUCUUCCCCAUGGCACUGAGCCUCAGCACAGAGCGGUCCAGCCCACAGCGGCCCUGGGAGUGGGGAGCGUCAAAGGCAGCAAGGGAGGCGUUUAGCUUCUCUGCCCCGUUGGUUUCCAGCGCUGGUGAGGAGCCAUGCAGGGAGCUGCACCCUCCCCCAGCUCGUCACUGGGGCUCUCCGCUUUUGUUCCCUGGCCGGGGACUUGGCCAAACAGCACUUGGCCAAGCCAAAAGAGAAAUGGCCAAGAGCAUGCAGUGCUCACCGCAGCAAGCCAGGAACUGGGGGCCCUGCAGCACGAGGCAGGGGGCCCCCAAAGCAGAGGCAGCACUGGUGGUACUAUGUCAUGAUGCUGGGUGCCAUCUGCCCAGAGAGCACCAAGAUCAGAGACAGGAGCAGCCCCACACACAUCCUGCUUUGGUUUUUUUUAGGAACUGAGCCUUCCCCUGAGGAUGCUCACGCCUGAAGCCGAGGGGGGAUGCUGGCGUGUGGGAAAAGCAGUGGCAUAGACCCUGGCAAA